UCUGUUUGAGUGCGAGCAGUGCAGGAGAUGAAACGGCAGACUGCCUGAGCUGUUUUUCUUCAUCUGAGGGCUUUUAAGGUCUUCUUGAGAGAUUAUUUUAGAAAGAAAUCAUGAGAAGGAGACCAGAAAAACCCAUUACAGACCAGACUUGAACCCGU